UGAUCGGACUGGAUCUGAUGAGCUCUGAGAUGCCUUCUACCUCUAAAUCUAUGAUCUCAUGAUUUUUUGGAAGGAUAUGGUCAAAGCGUGCCUCACAACAUCAGACUGAGGGAAAAUGAGAGGCUUCCACCAGGAACAGGCUGCUUGAAUAAUAGUCUGGAAUUUUCAGGGGAACCCAAAAGGUAUGGUUGAACUGCUCAACAAUCCCCACCUUUGCCUCAUCAUUGGUGACAAAAGGGGUCUCUCAUUGGUACCCUCUGUCUGAAACGGCAUGGCUUGGGCAAG